CCGCCCGUAGUUCAACGGAUAGAACGGGGGCCUUCUAAGCCCUUAAUGGAGGUUCGAGUCCUCCCGGGCGGA
rnacentral:tRNA from 1 species